rnacentral:rRNA from 1 species
UACAGAGGGGGCAAGCGUUGUUCGGAAUUACUGGGCGUAAAGGGCUCGUAGGCGGCCCACUAAGUCACACGUGAAAUCCCCAGGCUUAACCUGGGAACUGCGUGUGAUACUGGAUGGCUUGAAUCCGGGAGAGGGAUGCAGAAUUCCAGGUGUAGCGGUGAAAUGCGUAGAUAUCUGGAGGAAUACCGGUGGCGAAGGCGGCAUCCUGGACCGGCAUUGACGCUGAUGAGCGAAAGCUAGGGGAGCAAACGGG